rnacentral:lncRNA from 1 species
ACUCCGGCUGUGUGUUGGGGGGACACGGUUCUCGGACUGAAGCAAUAGCAAAACGUUAGUGUUCAGCUGCGUUGAUAAAAGAAUAAAAAAUCGGCUAAGGAAAAAUACCUCGGCGUUCGGGUCGAUGUUGGUUGGGUCCAGGAGAUUGCAGUAUGCCGAUGCGGAGUUGCAGAAAAGGAAUUGUUUCCAUUCGGCCCAGCAAAGCUUGAAAGGCUGGACAGCGAAGGGAGCUACUAUCCAGUUGUUCAAGUCAAUAGUGGUGGAGUCUGGGAUCC